rnacentral:tRNA from 1 species
GCCCACAUAGCUCAGCGGUAGAGCACCUUCUUGGUAAGAAGGGGGUCACCAGUUCAAAUCUGGUUGUGGGCU